CACGUAGGGCGCGAGCGUUGUCCGGAAUUAUUGGGCGUAAAGAGCUCGUAGGCGGCCUGUUGCGUCCGCUGUGAAAGCCCGGGGCUUAACCCCGGGUCGGCAGUGGAUACGGGCAGGCUAGAGGUAGGUAGGGGAGAAUGGAAUUCCCGGUGUAGCGGUGAAAUUCGUAGAUAUCGGGAGGAACACCGGUGGCGAAGGCGGCGACCUGGGUAGAUACUGACGCUGAGGUGCGAAAGCGUGGGGAGCAAACAGG
rnacentral:rRNA from 1 species